rnacentral:rRNA from 1 species
GACGAACGCUGGCGGCGUGCCUAAUACAUGCAAGUAGAACGCUGAAGGAGGAGCUUGCUUCUCUGGAUGAGUUGCGAACGGGUGAGUAACGCGUAGGUAACCUGCCUGGUAGCGGGGGAUAACUAUUGGAAACGAUAGCUAAUACCGCAUAAGAGUAGAUGUUGCAUGACAUUUGCUUAAAAGGUGCAAUUGCAUCACUACCAGAUGGACCUGCGUUGUAUUAGCUAGUUGGUGGGGUAACGGCUUACCAAGGCGACGAUACAUAGCCGACCUGAGAGGGUGAUCGGCCACACUGGGACUGAGACACGGCCCAGACUCCUACGGGAGGCAGCAGUAGGGAAUCUUCGGCAAUGGACGGAAGUCUGACCGAGCAACGCCGCGUGAGUGAAGAAGGUUUUCGGAUCGUAAAGCUCUGUUGUAAGAGAAGAACGAGUGUGAGAGUGGAAAGUUCACACUGUGACGGUAUCUUACCAGAAAGGAACGGCUAACUACGUGC